UUUUGUUUUUGUUUUUGCAUUUGUGUUUGUCAAGAAAAGUAGAAAGGCUGAUGCUUCUUGCCUGUUUUUCCAACUCUUUUAAUGCUAUAAAAUGCACCCCAAAUUUAACCCAUUCUCUCUCCUAGGAUUUGAUAUACCCAGUUUACUCCCUUGAAGGUCCUCUAUCUCAUCAAAGCUUUAGAUUUUAAAAGCAUGAUUGUAUAUUUUUAUUUUCAAAAAGAUUUUGAUUUUGGAGAUAUUUUAAAAUUGGAAAUUGAACUCAGAUAGGCUUUACCAUUUGUCUGUUUUCUUAGAAGAAUAAAUGCUAUUUGCAAUAUAAGAGUUAGCUGCCAGAAACCUAAGAAAGUUAUGUUCAAAUUAUUUUUACAAAUAGAUGUUCACAUCACCUUUAAACAGUAGUAAUGGCUCAGAAAAAAUCAAGCAAAGUUAACAUCUUUAAAAAAAUACAAACCACAUUGCUUUACAGGAUGAGGUUGUGCUUAAUAACGUAUGCUUAAUUCAUUCAGAAACUACACGAUUUUUGUUGCUAUAUUUUGUUAGAAAGGAAGGAGAGACUGUUUCUACAGGUGUCAUACAAAAAUCAAUACUGAGCCAAGGAUUAUUGGAUCCCAUAGAACCACGGAGACUUGGUAGUGAAAUUCUUCCAAAGCAUUCCAUCCGUGCAGGCAGAUGGUGUUCCUAGGUUUGGAAAUAUAAAUCCCAUGGGAAGUCAGCUGAAGACCAUUUUAUGCAUCACUCAUCCUGUUAGAGCCCUG
rnacentral:lncRNA from 1 species